GAGCCUGUAGAGGUCACUACACUCGCCUUGCACGCGGGAGACCCGGGUUCGAUCCCCGGCGAGGUCA
rnacentral:tRNA from 1 species